UUUGGUGAUGAUGGCAGAGAGGUCACACCCGUUCCCAUACCGAACACGGAAGUUAAGCUCUCUAGCGCCGAUGGUA
rnacentral:rRNA from 1 species